GAGAGCGUAGCGCAAUUGGAUAGCGCGUCAGCUUGCGGAGCUGAAGGUUGCAGGUACUCUUCGAGAAGUCUGCGCCUACAAAUCCUGCCGUUCUCG
rnacentral:tRNA from 1 species